rnacentral:lncRNA from 1 species
UAUUAAGCUAGCUAGUACCUAUUCCAUUUAUGUGGCGUCGUCAAAGAUGGAAUCAGCAUGCAGAUGAUCACAGCAGCCAUGAUGGAACAAAGGCUUCUCCUUAGCACAGCAGCCAUGAUGGAACAAAGGCUUCUCCUUAGCACAGCAGCCAUGAUGGAACAAAGGAUUCUCCUUAGCACAGCAGCCAUGAUGGAACAAAGGCUUCUCCUUAGCACAGCAGCCAUGAUGGAACAAAGGCUUCUCCUUGGCACAGCAGCCAUGAUGGAACAAGAAGGCUUCUCCUUAGCACAGCAGCCAUGAUGGAACAAAGGUUUCUCCUUAGCACAGCAGCCAUGAUGGAACAAAGGCUUCUCCUUAGCACAGCAGCCAUGAUGGAACAAAGGCUUCUCCUUGGCACAGCAGCCAUGAUGGAACAAGAAGGCUUCUCCUUAGCACAGCAGCCAUGAUGGAACAAAGGUUUCUCCUUAGCACAUCAGCCAUGAUGGAACAAGAAGGCUUCUCCUUAGCACAGCAGCCAUUAUGGAACAAGAAGGCUUUUCCUUAGCACAGCAGCCAUUAUGGAACAAGAAGGCUUCUCCUUAGCACAGCAGACAUGAUGGAACAAGAAGGCUUCUCCUUAGCACAGCAGCCAUGUUUGAACAAGAAGGUUUCUCAGCACAGCAGCCAUGAUGGAACAAGAAGGCUUCUCCUUAGCACAGCAGCCAUGUUUGAACAAGAAGGUUUCUCAGCACAGCAGCCAUGAUGGAACAAGAAGGCUUCUCCUUAGCACAGCAGCCAUGAUGGAACAAAGGCUUCUCCUUAGCACAGCAGCCAUGAUGGAACAAAGGCUUCUCCUUAGCACAGCAGCCAUGAUGGAACAAAGGUUUCUCCUUAGCACAUCAGCCAUGAUGGAACAAGAAGGCUUCUCCUUAGCACAGCAGCCAUUAUGGAACAAGAAGGCUUCUCCUUAGCACAGCAGCCAUUAUGGAACAAGAAGGCUUCUCCUUAGCACAGCAGACAUGAUGGAACAAGAAGGCUUCUCCUUAGCACAGCAGCCAUGUUUGAACAAGAAGGUUUCUCAGCACAGCAGCCAUGAUGGAACAAGAAGGCUUCUCCUUAGCACAGCAGCCAUGUUUGAACAAGAAGGUUUCUCAGCACAGCAGCCAUGAUGGAACAAGAAGGCUUCUCCUUAGCACAGCAGCCAUGAUGGAACAAGAAGGUUUCUCCUUAGCACAGCAGCCAUGAUGGAACAAAGGCUUCUCCUUAGCACAGCAGCCAUGAUGGAACAAGAAGGCUUCUCCUUAGCACAGCAGCCAUGAUGGAACAAGAAGGCUUCUCCUUAGCACAGCAGCCAUGAUGGAACAAGAAGGCUUCUCCUUAGCACAGCAGCCAUGAUGGAACAAGAAGGCUUCUCCUUAGCACAGCAGCCAUGAUGGAACAAGAAGGUUUCUCCUUAUCACAGCAGCCAUGAUGGAACAAGAAGGCUUCUCCUUAGCACAGCCGCCAUGUUUGAACAAGACGGUUUCUCAGCACAGCAGCCAUGAUGGAACAAGAAGGCUUCUCCUUAGCACAGCAGCCAUGAUGGAGAAUCAAUCUAAAAGUCAGACUUGAUGUCAGGCCCGCCUGACUUGUUUAAUCACUAGGAGUGGUCGCGGUAGACAGACUUUGAUUACAACCAUCUCCCUGAUCAAUAAAAUCCUUGAACUUGCAUUAAAGUCACUGCCUCACUGCUGGCUGCUCACGGCAAUAUUCCUGAUAGCACAGGUUUUUCAUCUCAAAUUGCACCCUAAUUCCUUAUACAGUGCACUACUUUUUUUGACCAGAGCCCUGUGUGCCCUGGCCACACGUACUUCACGAUAACGGGAAUAGAGUACAAAUUUGGGCCCUCCGGGUCCAAUGAUUUACUCACAGGAGAGACAGGACCUUAGAACCCCAUCGGUUGCAGGCCGGGCACAGUCACCUACCUGAGCUGAGUGAUUUCACCCGGCAGAUAACAGCAGCUGUUUACCCCUUGUUUUAAGGGCAAAUCUAAGAUUGGAG